GGGGUUACUUGCGGUGCUCACCUUCAAGAAUGAGCUUCAGGCACAGACAGCAAGCUGUCCAUUUGGUUGCUUACAAGAGGUAAAUUGCACUAGCAGCAGAAUAUGUCAGCUUUUCAGUCACUGGAGAAGAAUACAACGAUCUGCAAGGAAAACUGAAUACUCAGUGCAAAAGUGCAGUCACAUCUCCCCUUGCUACGCAGAGUAUGGACAGGAUGAAAGCUGUGGCCACAAAAUCGGGCAACCACGAAAUCUCACAUUACUCCCUGGA